rnacentral:rRNA from 1 species
AGCGAACGCUGGCGGCAGGCCUAACACAUGCAAGUCGAACGAACUCUUCGGAGUUAGUGGCGGACGGCUGAGUAACACGGGGGAACGUGGCUUUAGGUGCGGAAUUACUUAGGGAAAGUUGUGCUAAUACCGAAAGUGUACCUCGUGGGACAGAUGGAUCUCGUUUCGAGCUGCCGGCGUCUGGUUAGCUAGUGGGUGAGGUAAAGGCUCACCAAGGCGACGAUCAGUAGCUGGUCUGAGAGGAUGAGCAGCCACAUUGGGACUGAGACACGGUCCGAACUCUUACGGGAGGCAGCAGUGGGGAAUCUUGCGCAAUGGGCGAAAGCCUGACGCAGCCAUGCCUGGUGAAUGCUGAAGGUCGGAGGAUUGUAAAAUUAUUUCACCGCGGAAGAUAUUGACGUUACCCGGAGAAGAAGCCCCGGCUAACUUCGUG